AUUCAUUUUGCUUCGUAUGUAGUCCCUUAGUGAAAUCUCUUAAAAGACUUAUAUUUAGGAACGGAGGGAGUAUAAUAGUAGGCAGUAGUGGAGUGCGAAGUUUGUGUGACCGAGCACCUCGGUGCUCUGUAUAUGAUACGUUGAGCCAUGUGUGUGGAUCAUGAACUGUCUAGUCGCUGUCCCCUAGUAGGCCGGGCUAGCAUUAGGAGCUAGAUUGUGUAGGCGUAGCUACUUGGUACAAGUGUUUGACAAAUUGGUCCAUUUACGUGAAGUGUUUUCGGAGCAUGACGUCCUCUCUUGGAACAUGACUUGUGACCGUGUAUGUACCGAGCAGACGGAGCGCUUACCUAAUCGUCAACCUAAGGGGAUCCCAUUAGCUCUGCCCACUAGCUCUUCUUCCUCGACGUGGGGCGCAGCUCCGUCCGCUCCCCCAAUGGACCAGUCGAUGGGAGAGAUGCGUCAUGGAGCGCCCAGCCUUGAUCUCAAUGCUUCUGGUCCAGUAUGUACACAUACUGCUCAUCCGGGUGAGUCUCAAGCUUCUAUCAGCAUAGCUGUUGGAGAAGAAAUACAUGGGAAGGACUUCCUGGACGACGGAACAAGUGUCGAAUUCAUGCAAGAUGCACUGAAGCAACCAACGGCUGGACUAGGAGGGUUAGGAUUGGCAAGGCACCCGUCAAAAGGGAAAUGAAUGCAGCGAGGAAGAGUGAUUUGGAAUUAUCAGUGAGAGCUUACAUAACCAAGUGCGAUCGUUCGACUCCAUAAACGAGGCUUACAAUUUCUAUAAUUUAUAUUCAUGGGAGGUUGGUUUUGGUAUUAGGCUAUCAAAAAGCCGGCUCAAUGUUAACUGGUCAAGGUGCAUGCAAGAGAUUGUGUGCUGUUAGUAUUUGUUUCGCUGUCUUGCUAGUUAUUCCGUUACAUUGGAUACCGCGGAAUUUAUUGGUUUGUAUAAUUUUCUGAUUUUUCAGGGGAAGCCGGUGAAAGAUAACACUAGAUCAUCCAGGUGUGGGUGCAAUGCUAUGAUCAGGCUAUUAAGGUCGGAAGACAAUGGGUGGUACAUACGUGAGCAUCGCUCUUCACACAACCACCCUCUCUCGAUGACGUGUGGCGAAAAAAUGUACUGGCAAUCUCACAGACACAUUGACCGUUACAUUAAAGAUUUGGUUACAUAGCUAAGGCAAAACAAUGUUAGUCUUGGAAAGGUCUUGAGUAUAGUUGGAAGUUUUUUUGGGUGUAUCGAAAAUGUCCCAUUCACCAAGAGGGCGUUAAAGACACUGUGUGGCAAUAUUAAUAAGGAGCAUAGUGAUUCUGAUGCCAGGGAAACAAUGGAUGCUUAGGGAUGAGAAAGAGGAUACCUUCAGAUGGGUCUUUCGUGAGUUCAUUAGAAUGGUUGGUGGGAAGCAUCCACAGACGAUACUUACUGAUCAGGCUCGUUCGAUGGAAUUGACGAUUGAGGCAGAGCUGCUAAAUACAGUGCACAGGUGGUGUAAGUGGCACGUGUUGAAGAAAGCGAAAGAAUCAAUGGGCGCAUUGUGGGGGAAGAAUAGUGAUUUCAAGACUGAGUUUCACAAGUUGGUCCAUCACAUGGUGAACGAAGAAGAGUUUGAAGGUGGGUGGGCUGCAAUGCUGGAGAAGUACUCGUUGAAGAAACAUCCAUUCCUGACACAAAUCUACGAGGUGCGUCACAAAUGGGCGAAGCCGUAUUUUAGGGGAGUGUUCUGUGCAAAAAUGACAAGCACGCAACAGAGUGAGAGUGCAAAUCACAUGCUGAAGGGGUAUGUUCCGCCUGGCUGCCCUAUACAUCUAUUCCUACGCCAAUAUGAAAAACUACAAUUUGACAGAGAUUCUGAAGAAAGCUUCGAGGAGAAGCGCACCUCACUGAGUGGAGUAUCAUUAAGAUGUAACCUGCCAAUUGAGAGACAUGCAAGCAAAAUUUACACGAGGGCUAUGUUAUAGCAGUUUGGGGAAGCUCUCUACAAGGCUGGUGCCUAUGUAGUUGAUGUAGUCCAGCCUAUGGCAAUUUAUAAGCUAACACAUGUUGAUGCAACAACGCGUGCGAGAUGGAGCAAAGUUGAGUUCAUAGUUAAAGUGAACGACGACAAAUCAUUUUUUAUCUGUGAAUGCGGGUCAUUUGAGCACUCUGGCAUGGUCUGUUGCCAUUCGUUAAUAGUCAUGAUUGAGUUGCGGCUUAGCAGAAUACCAACAAAGCAUAUAUUGAAGCGAUGGACGAGGGAUGCACGAGAUAUCUUGCCUGAGCGACUUGUCCGGUACCAAAGAGACAGUGGGCCUCCUGCUAGCAAUACAUACAGGCAUCAUACUAUGUACAUUCAAGCUUUGAAUUGCGUACGGCUCGGUGAUAGCAAUGUGAAAUGUUUUGAAGUUUUCACGGCGAUGAUGAAGGAAGUUUAUAAAACCCUACUGCCUCUAAGUCAGGAUAAGGAUGGUAUGGGACUUGAAGAUCGCGAGACAGCUGUUGAUGGCAACAAUAUGGUUGAUCGUGUGCCGGAACUAUCAAACUGUUCAGGAAUUGCUCCCGCAAAGUCUAAACGGUCAGCGGGGAGACCGUCUUCAAGCAGAGAGAAGGCUCCAUAUGAAGAGAAGCUGAAGAGGUCUAGAUUUUGCACCAUAUGUCGGGGUGAGGGUCACAAAAGUACAACUUGCCCUGAUCGAGGUGAUAUACCCAAAGCCCCCAGGAGGUUGCCGAAGUGUGGAAAAUGUGGAGUGAUUGGUCACCGAAAGACUGGUUGCGGCAAAAUUGUUGAUCCGUUCGAGCCGAAUUUCCUUUAGGCACAUCGCAUUUUCAAAAAAAAAAAAAUGGCAGGUGCGCACAAACAAUUUCUGUUGGUUUCGUAUUAAGGCAGUGUGCCAGAAUAUUUGAUGGCAAACAUAACGUUGCUAUGAUUUAUGUAAUUGCGAAUUUUGUACUUA